rnacentral:lncRNA from 1 species
CUUAUGUGCCGGUUUUCACAACUCACAGCAGAUUAUCCUAGAGGCCUGUAACUUCAGCUAGCUUCAAGUAUAGCAGGUAUGACACUAAAUGUCAUCACAUACCUGAUCGUUUUUACUCCUCACAGAAAACAGGCCUUGUAAACUCACGUUCACUUCAUGACCUUCUUGAAUGCGCAGUGCCCCAUUCUUUUGAGUUCUUAUUACAUGUCAAAGGCAAGGACCGUGGCUUCUCUUUUUGUCCACGCGGUACUCACAUGGUCUUGAUAGGACUGACCUUCUGAGGAUCUCCUUGAUCUUUCUUUACCUAUAUAAACAAAAAUUAAAUUUAAACACAGCUGUAUUCGCAUAUGAACAAAAAACUACCAUUAGGUGUUUGUCUCUCAGCAAAUUAUUUCUCCUCUCUAGGCCUCAGUUUUUUCAUCAAUAAAAUGAGACCAUUAGACCGAGGAGGAACUUCUGGCUCCAAAACCCUUUGGGUUCUAAGUCUUCUCUUUGAGAAUGUUCUCCACUCCCCCAAACUGAUUUGACAUAAUUUGGUCUCUCCUCCCAUUCCAAUGGCCUCUUUCCUGCCUAGUCCUUGCCUACCAGCCACGCCCCCUCUGGCAUGCCCCACCCACCUUUCUCUGUUUGCUGCUCUGGAAGAGAAGGAUCCUGGCUUCUCAGAGCCCUGGUGAAUACAGAUACUGCCUCGUUUGCAUAUUAACACUGGUGCCAGUCUGAGCCCAGCUGUGUGCAACGUAAGGUGAAAUAUAGAUUCCCCCAACCUGGCCACAGUGUCUCCACGCGGCUAAUGGAAAAGCCUUCGGAGUGGGCCCAUGUUGCAUAUGCAUAAGCUUUCCUUUGGCCGUGGAUGGGCAUUGGGUGCUCUUACUCCCAUUUCAACUGUGUCUCUGUGCUUCUUUGGGUUUCCUUCAAGAUUAACAGGCCAUCUGGGCUAAACAGCUAUUUGAAGUGACUUGGCCAGGCCCUGGGCUGGCCUCUUGGGAACUCUGGGACUUGAGUGUUGAACCCGAGCCCCGCCCUCCUGCUCACCCACUCAGCAUGGCAGCAGCAGCUUUUAUGUAUCAGCAGCGACCUAGAACUAGGCCAAGCAUCCCCUUCACCUCCUGCAGGAUGAAGGUCAGGCUCCUCACACGGUGUCGGAGGUCCUGCUUCCCCUGCCCCUGGGCCCUCUGUUACACCCAUCAUCCCGUGUCCAGACUUACCACAGCUCCUGAGCAGGCCUGGUGUUCUCCUGCCUGCCAAGCCUUCGCACCUGCUGCUUCUUCUGCCCUUUGGGCGUUCCUGGGGGUGGGGGGUGCAGAGAGGAGGAUCUAGGGCUCCCCUCUGUGUUCCUGCAGCCCAGUGUGUCUGCC